CCUUCUACUGAUAAAACAACACUACCACCUUCAGAGUUGGUCGAUCAAUAAAAAGUGAGGAAAGUUGUGAUGUGUGGCAAUUCGAUUGGAUAGGAAGAUUGUGAGUAAUUGAUUGGAAGCAUCUUAAAAUUAAGGUUAGUAAGAUGGUGGAGACGGAAGCAGCUGUGGCGGGUUGGCUGCAAUAUGUUGAAAUAGCUAGCUAUUAUAUUUAAAAAAAAUAUGUCAUAUAUUUUGAGUAUGUAAAAUGCUAGUUAAAGAUUAUGUAUAUGAUAUUAUUAUUAUGCAAUAAUUUAUUUAUCGCUCGAUGGAGAGUGCAUGUAGUCGGCCCCUCUUGGACGCUUGACCAAAGCCCUCAUGAUCAUGUUGUGCUAUGCCAAUUUCAUGAGUGAGCUGGUCGGUCAACUCCUUUUGGCGAGCUAGACUCGGUUACCCCAUCAUUUACCGCUUUAUUAAAAUUGUAAUUAAAUGUCCGACUGCUUAGCCGCACGUAUUUGUAGACUGGUUCUAAACCACCAGCGUGCUGAGCCAAGCUUUCCGACUUGAAUAUUAAAUAUGUUAUAAUACUUAGUUUAAUUAUCUAACAACGAUUACUAUACAUUAAUAUUCUU